rnacentral:sRNA from 1 species
CCUUUUUGCUUUUUGCUGCCCUAAUAGACUUAUCAAAAUAUGGUUUGCAGAUCUUCAAGACCGGAAAAGCUGUCUUCAAGGAUCGCCUACCCCUACCCUGGUGGUUAACUCCACUGGCUUCUUGGAAUACCCAGGUGGGCAGAGGAGCGAGAAAGGUGGUGGUAAACAGACAGAGAGAGGGAGAGAGGGGGAGAGGCAGAGUGAACACUGUUCAUUAAUUUAUAAUUAUAAACUUCUGCCUCUGCGCACAAUUCAAGCAGUAAAUGAGCAAAACAGCAACAACAAAUAAAAAGAAUAAAAAUGUGAA